CCCACGAAAGCUUAUGCUCCAAUACAUCUGUUAGUCUUAAAGGUGCCACAGGACUUUCUGUUGCUUUUUACAGAUCCAGACUAACCCGGCUACCCCUCUGAUACUAAACAUUUCAGUGAUUCCCUGCAAACUUUAACAAAUUCAGAAUGAUUCUUACAAGAAACCAGACUGAACAAAUGCUCCCCAGUCAUCUGGAAGGACCAUGCGCCUCUGCCAAAAAGAAUCAGCCACCCAACCAUUCUUCCUGUGGGGUGACAUGCCCCUGCCCUUCCUCCCAACACCUAGGUCUGCCAUCCAUACUGAAAUGAAAGCAGCUCACAGCGCAGCGUGGUCAGGAAAAGUGGAGGAGAAGGAAACAUGCUUCAAGGGCCCCACUCCCGUGAAGUUCCCCUGGAGACUAUAUAGGACCUUCACUGCUCAACCGGCCUAGGAAGGCUCUUUCCACAAGGCAGUGCUUCCCUGUGGCUGCUUCGAGUGUACCUGAAGUUCAGUUCCAGCAUUGAAGACACAAGCGACAGCGUGUUUGAAAUGAGUUGAUACAUUUAAUAACGUUAAUUCUGGACCUUCCAGGUCAGAGCUUGGCCACAAUGCCAAGUUUGGGCAGCAGCUCCCCACUCUCUACCCAUCUCUGGACAGAGGAGCUCAGUCGAAUGUGAAUUCAGUUGAGUUCCAUGAGGAGGCAGUUAAUCACUUAGCCAUGAUUUCAUGAUGCAGGGUCAAUCAAGUCCAGAAUCUUGUCUCUGUACCAUACUGUUCAGAGGAAGGUGGAAGAAACCUCCUAGUGGACAAGUAUGGAAUUACCUAUUUAUAAAGGAUAUUUCUUUCUAAUCCCCAUUCUGCCCCUGUUGGCCUACACCUUAAGACAAGAAGCUUUAUAUCUCUUAUAUUUUUACCUUAA